UGAAUACGAGACGCUACGGCGUCGAAGCAGUCUAUGUCAUACUUCCAAGAAAAGCUCGCAAUGUCAUAAACAAAUAAUGCCUGUACCAUAACCGACACAGGUGGGUAGGUAGAGUAUACUAAGGGGCGCGAGAUAACUCUCUCUAAGGAACUCGGCAAAAUGACUCCGUAACUUCGGGAGAAGGAGUGCCUUAUUUAUAAGGUUGCAAUAACAAGAUCCAAGCAACUGUUUAUCAAAAACACAGGUCUCCGCUAAGUCGUAAGACGAUGUAUGGGGGCUGACGCCUGCCCAGUGCCAGAAGGUUAAAGAAGUUGGUUAGCAUUCGCGAAGCUGAUAACUGAAGCCCUGGUGAACGGCGGCCGUAACAAUAACGGUCCUAAGGUAGCGAAAUUCCUUGUCGGGUAAGUUCCGACCCGCACGAAAGGCGUAAUGAUUUGGAUACUGUCUCGGAGAGGGGCUCGGUGAAAUAGACUUGUCUGUGAAGAUGCGGACUACCUGCACCUGGACAGAAAGACCCUAUGAAGCUUUACUGUAACUUGAAAUUGAAAUUGGACUUUAUUUGCGCAGCAUAGGUGGGAGGCGUUGAGAGUAUUCUUCGGGAAUAUUGGAGCCAUCAGUGAGAUACCACUCUUGUAAUGUUAGAUUUCUAACUUUGUAUCAUUAUCUGGUCAAAGGACAGUUUCAGGCGGGCAGUUUGACUGGGGCGGUCGCCUCCCAAACGGUAACGGAGGCGUACAAAGGUUUCCUCUGAACGGGUAGAAAUCGUAUCUAGAGUGUAAAGGCAUAAGGAAGCUUGACUGUGAGACCUACAAGUCGAGCAGGGACGAAAGUCGGUCUUAGUGAUCUGACGGUGCUGAGUGGAAAGGCCGUCACUCAACGGAUAAAAGUUACUCUAAGGAUAACAGGCUGAUCUCCCCCAAGAGUUCACAUCGACGGGGAGGUUUGGCACCUCGAUGUCGGCUCAUCGCAUCCUGGGGCGGUAGUACGUCCCAAGGGUUGGGCUGUUCGCCCAUGAAAGCGGUACGCGAGCUGGGUUCAGAACGUCGUGAGACAGUUCGGUCCAUAUCCGGUGUAGGCGUUAGAAUAUUGAGAGGAGCCUUCUUUAGUACGAGAGGACCGAGAAGGACAUACCUCUGGUGUACCAGUUAUCGUGCCAACGGUAAACGCUGGGUAGCUAUGUAUGGAGAGGGUAACCGCUGAAAGCAUCUAAGUGGGAAGCCCACCUCAAGAUAAGUAUUCUCAU
rnacentral:rRNA from 1 species